UACGUAGGGUGCGAGCGUUUGUCCGGAAUUAUUGGGCGUAAAGAGCUCGUAGGCGGUUUGUCGCGUCGGCCGUGAAAACUUGGGGCUUAACCCCAAGCCUGCGGUCGAUACGGGCAGACUUGAGUUCGGCAGGGGAGACUGGAAUUCCUGGUGUAGCGGUGAAAUGCGCAGAUAUCAGGAGGAACACCGAUGGCGAAGGCAGGUCUCUGGGCAUUAACUGACGCUGAGGAGCGAAAGCAUGGGGAGCGAACAGG
rnacentral:rRNA from 1 species